rnacentral:rRNA from 1 species
UACGUAGGGGGCAAGCGUUGUCCGGAAUUAUUGGGCGUAAAGAGCGUGUAGGCGGUCCGGUAAGUAGGCUGUGAAAGUCCAGGGCUCAACCCUGGGAUGCCGGUCGAUACUGCCGGACUAGAGUUCGGAAGAGGCGAGUGGAAUUCCCGGGUGUAGCGGUGAAAUGACGCAGAUAUCAGGAGGAACACCGAUGGCGAAGGCAGGUCUCUGGGCCAUAACUGACGCUGAGAAGCGAAAGCAUGGGGAGCGAAACAGG